AAAGGAAUUUUCAUUUGCACAUUAAUUAAUUAAUUAAUUAACUAAACCCCCGCCCCCAAAAUAAACCCCUCUCCCCACGCACUCACUUUAGCUCUCAUAUAGGAGACUGGUGUCAGAGCAAUAGAAUUGUAUGACAAAUGAAGGUUCACGGGCUUGGUACUUCUAUUGGGAGGAAAUCGGAAGGUCGGUUUCUGGUCAUUUGCCUUGAAAAUUUAAGACUUCUAUUCUUUCUUCUGCAGACCAUAUGCUGGUGAGUUUGUUACAUAUAGACCCCCAAGCGAGGCUUGAUAUUCUAAAGCCAAGGUUGCCGAAUGGGAGUGUCCACCUGGUUUUCUUGGCUAUGCUGUAAAUAUGAUCAAAGUGGAUAUUGGGUCAGAGAGAGAGAGAGAGAGUGCGUGUCUGUUUCAUCUCCAAAGGUGAGUUCUUUGAUUGUUACUUAGUGGCUGCAUUAGAGAAAUGAGAGAGGUUUGAGUAGUCCAAAGGUGAGUUCUUUGAUUGUUACUUAGUGGUUGCAUUAGAGAAAUGAGAAGAGGGGUUUGAGUAGUGAGUGUUUUGUCUCCAAAGGUUGCUUCUUUGGUUUUUAUUUUGUGCUUGAAUUUGAGAAAUGAGGGAGAAUUAAGUGGGGAGUUUUUCGUCUCCGAAGGUGGGUUUUGUUGGUUGAUGUUUGAAAGGUGAGAGCUUUGAGUGAGGGUUUUGGUGAGGAUGGAGAUGGGGAAGGGUUUGAGGGAGGCUGGGAAUGGUGGAAUUGAGGGUGGAGCUGAAAUAGGUGAGCAGAGAAGAAAGAGAUUUUGGGGAAAAAGUGACGAAAUUGUUUGGAAUGGAGAUCUUGGUAUUGGUGGUGAGGAGUGGUUUGGCGGUAGAAAUGGCGGAGGUGUGAGCUUCUGGGGUGGUGGUCUUGAUGGCGGAGGGGCUGAGGCUGGUGGUGGCCAAGCUUUUGCUCUUGAACAAAUUAAAGGUGGGUUUGGUGAGACAUUUCAAUUUGGUGGCAGUUUGGGUGGUCUGGAUGGCGGUGGAGGCAUUCACCACUUGUGGGGAAAUGAAGGCCUUGGCGGAGAAGGAAUGCAAGGCCUGAUUAGAACAUGGAUUAAUUCCAGAAAAAGAGAAAUGGUGGACUCACCCAACCAUAGUUUUGGGGUGAUGAGGCCUCUGGUAAUGUUGAUAGUCAAAGAGGCUGUUUGAGUGUAAAUGCAUCUGGUAAUGGUGAAGAUAGAAGUGGAGGUGGUGCUCAAGGGUCGAAUCGUAAGCGUGGAAGCUUUGAAUGGGAAGGAAGAUGGAUGUACUGUUCAGCGAAAGGGUAAGCGUGGUCGACCAAAGGGUUCAGCUAAGAAGAAAAAUCUUUGUGGUGAUGAAAUAAGGGAAAUGCCAGGUGAAAUCAUGGGUGGGACGGGAAAUGGGAGCUCCAUGCUUGAAGGUAAGGAAGAUGGUGGAAUGCCCAUAGAAGCCUCUGUGGCCAUUGAAGUUGGAAAUAAAUGUGUUCAGGUGAAGAAGCGUGGUCGGCCAAAGGGGUCGACCAGAAAGAAAGAUUUUGCCGUCAAACAAAAUCAGGAAAUGUUCAGCAAUGUUAUGGGCAGUGAUGAAGGUGCUACUGAGACUGUAUGGUCAACAGCCUUCGAAAACGGUAGGACUAAACUUGCAGGGGGGAGCAAGCUGUGAGAAUGUCUAGUGAAACUAAUUGUGGGAAUGAUAUCCAAACAGUGGAUAAACAUAGCCAACUAAAGGAAAUUCAAGAAAAGUUUGAUAAAAUGGUAGUCGGUAAUGAUGGUGAUGGUAAUGAUGCUCCUAUGGUGGGUUUGGAGAAUGAGAGGCCUAUUCGUGCGGGCGAGGAAGAUAAGGGAAUGUCUGCAACCUGUGGCAGUAAUGAAGGUGGACAUGAGGCCGUCCAACAGAAACAAGAGACCUAUUGCUUCUGUUGGAGAAGGUCAGAGUCGGGAAGGAGAAAAUGCAUGUGGGACCAAUUGAUUGUGGAGAUGAGAGCUCAAAGAGUAAGCUAGGCCGGCCUAAGAAGAAGAGACGAAUCAUUCGUCCUGAAGUUUUGAGUAAUAUCACAGUACUGAUGCAUCAAUGUUAUUUGAAGGAGGACCUGAGUUUCCCUACACCGCAAUUAAAGAACUCUGAAGAUACUGAGAAAAAAAAAUUACAGAAGAGGCCUAGAGGGAGACCCAAAAAGAUCAACAACCAACCAGUGAAUCACAGUGAAUUCCGUACUCAGCAAUUAAAGAACUUAGAAGAUGCUGGGAAAAAAAAAUUCCAUUUGAAGCCUAGAGGGAGACCCAGGAUGUUUAACAACCUACAAUUGAAUCACAGUGACUUACGUGCAGGGCAAUUAAAGAACACUCUGAACAUACUGAGCAAAAAUUCCAUAAGAGACCUAGAGGCAGACCCAGGAAGUUUAACAACCUACAGGCGCAUCCCAGGGACCUUAACCAGGGAAUAUCUACUGAUACGUUGGAGAGAAAGAAAAGUUUAUGGUGCCACCAGUGCUUACGUAAUGACGGAAAUGGUGUCGUCAUUUGUUUAAAUUGCAGCAAAGAAACGCUAUUGCUAUGACUGCCUUGCAACGUGAUAAAUGAAAUAGGUACCCCUGAGAAGACAAAAGAGGAUAUAGAGAUUGCUUGUCCUUAUUGUCGUGGGAACUGCAACUGCAGAAUAUGCCUCAAGGAGGAUUGAGUUGUGAUGGUGCGUCCAUGAUGUUAAGUUUCUGUUACCCUUGUUCCUGUUCUGCAUUGAUACAUUUUUUCGUCUGGGGCCAAACUGUGUACUUCCUCUGCAAGCCGGGCAUGAAGAAACAGAUACAAAUAUUAAAUUGGAAAAGUUGCUUUACUUGCUGUGCAAAACUCUGCCUCUCCUUAAGCAUAUUCAACGGGAGCAGGGAUCUGAAUUUGAUGCAAAAAGCUGUACACAUGAAGAGGAUCUAACGAGGUCUAUGCUAGAGGAUGAUGAUCGAGUGUACUGUGACAAAUGCGGUACAUCCAUUGUCAAUUUCCACAGCAGCUGCCCCAGUCCUGAUUGUUCUUAUGAUCUCUGUCUCACUUGUUGCUGGGAACUAAGGAAAGGAUGUGAGCUUGGAGGCAGUGAAGCAAAAUCUUCUGGUCAACAGAUUUGUGAAGGAGUACAUGGUAGAGGUACAAUAUCAGAUGACCAGAUUCCUGAAAAUGUGAAUGGAAAUAUAUCACAGAGCAUACCAGUAAAUGAGUUCACAAAUGAUAUGUCUUCUUUGUUUCCUCAUUGGAGAGCAGAGGCUGAUGGUAGGAUCCUGUGGUUGUGGUACCCAGUUACUUGAACUCAGACGUAUCUUUGAAGCUGAUCGGGUUGAAAAACUAAUUUUCAGCUCCAAGGACCUCACUGUUCAUUAUCAACUAUCAGAUGUUGAUUUUAGUCAAGGAUGUUCUUCAUGUCAUUCUAUCAGUUCUGCAUGCAAUGGUGUAAACGCUUCUGAAGUGAGGCAUGCAGAACUGAUUUGCUGGCCUCAACUACACUGGAGGAGAGGGGAACCAGUUGUAGUAAAAAAUGUACUAGAAAAGGCUGCUGGCCUUAGCUGGGAACCAAUGGUAAUGUGGAGGGCUUUUAUGGGGGUUUAAAAAGUAUUCCGCCAAGGUCAAAGCCACUGAUUGCCUUGAUUGGUGUGAGGGUGAACUCUCUGUUGGAACCAUGGCUUCUUUUAUUGGUUACACUUUAACAUUCGCUGUUCAAGGCCUGGUUGACACAUUUGGAGAUCUUCGUGGAACUCUUGCUGCAGUGGCCAGGUUCAAGGCGGACAAUGUUGGUGAUUGCUCACCGGUUAAGCACAGUUGAAAAUGCCCGUCAAGUUGCAUUGUGCUCCAAGGGAAGAUAGCUGAAAGUGGGGACGCACUACGAACUAUUGGCCAAGAAAGUCAACAUGCUUCAUUUGUUGGCGCUCGACUUGCUUUCGAGUGACUGGACACAAAAAAAAAAACGAUUUGCUGUAAUUUGUUUUCAUGAGCAGUUUUCUUACCCUACAUGUCAAACUCAGCUAUAUGUUAAUGUGCGUUAGAGGCUACCUCGGAGAGCUUUUCAUUCCAUGAGGAGGUUACUGGUUUUGCAUGUCCAAGUCUUUAGGAGUGAGGUUGAGUAGGAGUCUUAUUUUGAUUUACUUCCUUAAUUUGUGUAAAAGCUGUUUCAAGUGCAGUCUAUAUAUGUAAUUGAAACAGAGGAAAUAAGAUAUGCUUUUGAGUCGAA